rnacentral:lncRNA from 1 species
CGACGUGCUCUCUUAUCUUUCCCUUAACUCAUUAGCAUAAAUAACUCUUUUGAGGUAGUCACUGGCAGUACUCAGUAUAUCAAUUCAGUUCAUGGAUUCAAUGCAACAGGGAAGAAGCUGAUGUCAAACUGGUAACUUGCUCGAAUGCCAGUAGAAGGUUAGUUCCCAUCCUGGCGUCCACGGACUGGCAGUACAGUAUAUUGAGUAUAUCAAUUCAGUUCAUGGAUUCAAUGCAACAGGUUCUGGGGAAGAAGCUGAUGUGUUCAGUAUAGGAGACUUGAUAGUGGCAAUCCUCGGGUAAUGUACAUCUUGUUUACAUGUUUUCUCUUGUAUUUUUGACCUGGAUAUUUAAUAAAUUUUAAAAAUCAGGAGGGAGCCCUAAAUUUGACAUUUAAAAGUAAAUGGGGAAUAACAGAAUAUUACAUUCAAAUUUUGAGUCUGACUGUGUCAUUUCUGGUCAUCUACAAGUGUCAUAAAUAUAAAAGUGUCCCGGACCAUAUCCCCAACCAGUAAAAUUUACUGUCUGCACCCCCUCCUCUCCUGUCAUUGUCGAAUUCCAAAAUCCAUGAUAUAUCGCAAUGUGGCGAAUCAUCUUCUAUCCAUAAUCUUAUUGGCGGAAUAUCAACCAUGAGUCGCCCAAAAUUUUACACAUUAAAAAUUAAAUGGGGAUGUGGAUAAAAGAGAAUUAUCUUCAAAGAGCCUGAUAGUGCCAUUUCCAUUCAUCUAGAAGUGGCAAAGAAAACAAUGUUGUACUCCAGCCCCAACCAUAGUGGGGACUGAAUUCCAGGAUUCUCCAUUGUUUAAUAUUUUAAUUUUGUGCGAAUCAUUUUCUGUCUGUAGAUAUGGACAAUAAGUAUUAUUUGGGCAUGGGGCCCCGUGAAGAUUUUGGCAUGUCCGCGAACGCAAAAAGAUUGGGAACCACUAAUGUACUGUACUUAUGAGCCGUGUUCACGUUAUGACUAGGAUAAUUGAUUUAAGUUUAAUGUACAAUAAGGUAACAUAUUAAAUAGAUAUGGAACAGUAACCAUUAAGGUUUACUGUAGUGGGUUCAGCUAACUACGUGAACUUACAUUUUUAUCGUUAAUCAUAAUAAAGGGAUUUAGCAAUGGGCGUCAUGUGAACUAACUUUGGACUGGAUAUAAACAAUCCACUCACUGUGACCACUGCUUGCGAUUUAUCCCAAGAUCUUGAUAUUUUUAAUGACACCUUGGGAUCUUUUGUUAAAUUUUCAUUAAACCUUGGGAUUUUUGGAAUUACAGGUAGGCCAUAUGGAUUUUUUUUUAAUCAAUAAUUUCAUGACCUUUAUAACACCAUAGUUGACAGUGAAUGAGGGUUGUUUUUUGUUCAAAAAGACCUACAAGUUGUCUGGUUUCCAAAAAUAAUAAGGUGCAUUUUUAAGAUAGCUAUUUUGAUAUGUGUCACAUUUGGCGAUAUGCUGUUUGCUUCAGUGUAGGGCAGUAACGUUGAGCAAAAAUCAUUAUUAUUGGUAAGCCUAUUAUUAAUUAUUAUGCAUUUUUUCAUUUCUUAUUUUAUUAUUACUAAUUUUUCUUUUUCCAUGUUUAUUAUCUGAUAAUAUCUAUAUUAUUGCCACUAUUGUGUAUAUGAUAUGUAUAUAAAUGUAUGGUUUAUACUUCACAAUUAUAAUCUAUAAUUUUUCAAUAUAUCUUAAUUUGAGAUCCCACACCGUUUCAUACUUUUCAAAUGCUUUUAAUUGUGUUUUAAUUUGACAAUUAAAAGUUCAAUAACAUUCAUGAAAAAUACUUUACUUUUAUGCCUACCACCUUAACCUCCCAAAGAAAAGAAGUUAUAAAAAUUUACUCCUUUUUAGUUCCUAUGCAUGUAAUGUAGAACUAUUGUAAUCACUCUUCAUUUUCCUUUGUGUUCUAUUGUGUGUAGUGUGUGUGUGUGUGUGUGUG